rnacentral:misc_RNA from 1 species
GAUGAAGAACGUAGUGAAAUGCGAUACGUAGUGUGAAUUGCAGAAUUCAGUGAAUCAUCGAAUCUUUGAACGCACAUUGCGCCCUUUGGUAUUCCAAAGGGCAUGCCUGUUCGAGCGUCAUUUGUACCCUCAAGCUUUGCUUGGUGUUGGGCGUUUUUGUCUUUGGCCCGCCAAAGACUCGCCUUAUAAUGAUUGGCAGCCGGCCUACUGGUUUCGCAGCGCAGCACAUUUUUGCGCUUGCAAUCAGCAAAAGAGGACGGCAAUCCAUCAAGACUCCUUCUCACGUUUGACCUCGGAUCAGGUAGGGAUACCCGCUGAACUUAAGCAUAUCAAUAAGCGGAGGA